CGAAUGGAUGGAUAUUAAGACCGACCAAGACGCUCGUAGGAUGAUGCAUUACAUGUUCAAAAUUGUUUUGAUGGUUGUAAUUGCAUAGUUCUUGUAUUGUAUUUGUUAUAAUUAUUUGUGUUACUGACGACCAAGACGCUCGUAGGAUGAUGCAUUACAUGUUCAAAAUUGUUUUGAUGGUUGUAAUUGCAUAGUUCUUGUAUUGUAUUUGUUAUAAUUAUUUGUGUUACUGUUUAUGUAAUGGUACUU
rnacentral:lncRNA from 1 species